rnacentral:rRNA from 1 species
AUUGAACGCUGGCGGCAUGCCUUACACAUGCAAGUCGAACGGCAGCACGGGAGCAAUCCUGGUGGCGAGUGGCGAACGGGUGAGUAAUAUAUCGGAACGUGCCCAGUCGUGGGGAUAACGUAGCGAAAGCUACGCUAAUACCGCAUACGAUCUAUGGAUGAAAGCGGGGGAUCGCAAGACCUCGCGCGAUUGGAGCGGCCGAUAUCAGAUUAGGUAGUUGGUGAGGUAAAGGCUCACCAAGCCGACGAUCUGUAGCUGGUCUGAGAGGACGACCAGCCACACUGGGACUGAGACACGGCCCAGACUCCUACGGAGGCAGCAGUGGGGAAUUUUGGACAAUGGGCGCAAGCCUGAUCCAGCAAUGCCGCGUGCAGGAUGAAGGCCUUCGGGUUC